CUCUUCAACGUAGGGAGUAAAUAUUAACAGAAGGUCGAUUAUUGAGUUGGGCUUGUACAACUGACAAAAUGACGUAAUGCAAACUAAUAACCCGUGACUAUGGCCAGAUGGGCCAAUUUAUGAUCGCCACCAAGCCGCUGAGUGUGUGUGCGUGCCCGUGCAAUACUGAAUUACAAUCUACUAACUAGGGUGACAUCAGGUAGAUGACUAUGGCAGUUACAGUGCAAGGAGUCCUGUGAAAAAGUCCAUCAGGGAAUAUGAAAAAGAGCAUAAUAAAACCGUAAGAAUAUGUCCCCAGUCGGUCAUAUUCUAUAAUACUCAAGCCAAUAACCGUUUAAAACUGCGAAGUGUUUCCCGUUUUGCAUUACAUAUAACAACAAGUUAUGAUUUUAAAAAUACCAACAUAUUUUGCAUUUUAGAAAAAAUAGAUUAUACAAAUUGAAGAAUAACUAGUUUGUCGCUUUUUAACGUCAUUGAAUAGUAAGUUAUAAUGCUUGAUAGAAGCUAAUAAAAUGACAUGGAAUAUCAUAAACAACAAUAACAGUUAUUUUUGUUAAUAGUGCUAUGCUAAUAGUUACUAUAAGCAUAGCAAAUACUUUCAUGUUAAAUAAAG